AACAAUUCCCUGUUUUCCUUCAGAGAGGCCAGAGGCAUUUGUUCUCUGAACAGAAGAGUAUUAAGCAAGCCUUGGGGGUGAGCUUCAUUAAAGUUCUGUGAUGACAGUUGAAAAGGAAUGUUCUAUUUCUCCCCAAAGGGCUGGAGAAAUAAGAAAAGAUGAUGUGCAUUGAAAUGGUGCCCAGCUGCACUGAAGCCAGUAACCGUGCAAUCGAGAGGUUGUGCAAGCACAGCAGAUUAUAAGGAUCCAAGGUAUCCAGUGCCUGCCUUACCCAUUCCCUCCCAUUCCCUCCAAAGCUCUGGCCAUCCAACCCAUGCCACAGAGCACCACUGCAGGUCUUGGAUCAAAGACUCUUGGGCAGGUGUCUAGAAUUCCAAGGCCCAGCUCUAGCACUGACUUCUAUUGACCUGUUUCCUCAACUAUAAAAUGUAAAAAAUUAUUGCACCUAUAUCGCUAUGUGGUUGUGAAGAUCUCAGAAUAUCAUAGUGCCUGGAAUAUCAGAGCUGCAGUUGCCAUGAAGACAGUAAAGUUGUGACCUGCAAGUCAUGCUAAAUAUUUAUAUUUGAAAUGAAGGUUUCACUUAGAUCAUUCAGGUUUAUUGGCCACAUGCACUGGGAGUAGGAAAUCUACACUCAUCACACAUAGGCUCACUCAUAAAAACACUUACUUGGCUCUUAGUAGCCAAACCACAGAAUCCAUUGGCUCUGUGAAUCAGAACUUUUCCCCUUCUCCUGAUCAGCCCCUUCUCCACAAAACUUAGAAAGUGAGGGAUUCAAUUCAAGAGCAUCUGAUUCAAUUUGGAGCUGAAGGUUACAGAUCAACAAGGUUGUCAUGUUAGAACAGAGAAGGGGCAGAAUGCAAGUCUUACUUAAAGCUCUUCAAAUUCUCUCCUUAAAGCACUCCUUUGGAGAUCAUUAUCUUUUCUUAAAUGGACUAUUCAGAAGGAUUAGAUGGCCAAUCUAGGCUGAAUUAAUAAACUCCUUUUAUUUAA